GGUGAACGCUGGCGGCGUGCCUAAGACAUGCAAGUCGAGCGGGGCAGGUUUAUACCUGUUCAGCGGCGGACGGGUGAGUAACGCGUGGGUGACCUACCCGGAAGAGGCGGACAACCUGGGGAAACCCAGGCUAAUCCGCCAUGUGGUCCUGUCCUGUGGGGCAGGACUAAAGGGUGGAUAGCCCGCUUCCGGAUGGGCCCGCGUCCCAUCAGCUAGUUGGUGGGGUAAAGGCCCACCAAGGCGACGACGGGUAGCCGGUCUGAGAGGAUGGCCGGCCACAGGGGCACUGGGACACGGGGCCCACUCCUACGGGAGGCAGCAGUUAGGAAUGUUCCGCAAUGGACGGAAGUCUGACGGAGCGACGCCGCUUGGAGGAGGACGCCAUUCGGGGUGUAAACUCCUGAACUGGGGACGAAAGCCCUGUGUAGGGGGAUGACGGUACCCAGGUAAUAGCGCCGGCCAACUCCGUG
rnacentral:rRNA from 1 species